AUGCGAGCUGAGCAGACAGGGCUGUAAGGAAAUCUGGCGCGGUUCAAUACCUCGUCUAGCCUGGGUUCCAGUAUCUUUUUUUUUUUUUUUUUACUAACAAACUCAUUUCUCUACUGGGACAGGAUGCUGUGCUGGCUGGAAGUUCCAUUUCUACAGCGAGAAUCCUAUCUGGAAACACAGAAGUUGUCCUCUAGCAACAGCAGCUCGAACUUUUUUGAUUGUUGUUGCUGCUUUUCUCCCAUCACCCCCAUCCCCUUUUGACAAAGAUCCAACUGUAAAAAGUCUUACGUAACAGUUCAGGACUACUUCGGUUCUUUUACUGGAUUCAAGAAUGUAAAGUAUUUAUAUAUCACCUGAUUUCAAGAUCAAGAUUGGGUUUGAACUCUUUGAAUAGUGAUAUCACAAAACUAGACUUGAUUCUCUGUAUCUCUCCAGCAACAUCAAAGACAAACACAAAAUUCCAAACCUGAAAAAUGACAGUUAAGGAAGGGGGAAAAAAAACUUUAGUUUUCAUAAUGUAGAUAUAAUUUGACAUAUUUAGACUGAUGGGAUUUUAAAAAUCUCUUUUAUCACAAAAUAUUUCAAAUUUUCA